GACGAACGCUGGCGGCGUGCUUAAUACAUGCAAGUCGAACGGAAAGGUGCUGCGUUUGUGGGGUGCUCGAGAGGCGAACGGGGGAGUAACACGUGAGUAACCUGCCCUUGACAUUGGGAGAACUUUAGGAAACUGGGGCUAAUAUCGGAUAGGAGCUCUUGCUGCGCGGGGGUGGUUGGAAAGUGUCGGCGGUGGUGGCUGGACUCGCGGCUUAUCAGCUUGUUGGUGAGGUAGGGGCUUACCAAGGCUUUGACGGGUAGCCGGCCUGAGAGGGUGACCGGCCACAUUGGGCCUGCGAUACGGCCCAGACUCCUACGGGACGCAGCAGUCGGGAAUAUUGCGCAGUGGGCGGGAGCCUGAUGCAGCAACGCCGCGUGCGGGAUGCCGUCCUUCGGGUUGUAAACCGAUUUCGCCUGUGCCGAGGAGUGAGUGACGGUAAUGGGUCAAGAAGCACCAGCUAACUACGUG
rnacentral:rRNA from 1 species